CUGACUAUAGACGUCGGUUUCUGUAGCAACUGACGCCUCAUUUCAUGUUAAAUAAACCGCAGACUCGCAGUUUCGCGGCAUUGCAUUCCAGUUUCUGAUAACAUCAUCGUCUUCCUCCUCUCCUUUUUCUCUCUUGCGGCAUUGCAUUCCAAGUGCGUCUUUUUUUAUUUAAACCGUUUAAACUUUGUUCAGUCCGAUUAUAGUAGUCUUUCAUCAAUUAUCUUCUGGUUCAACUUAUUAAAAUUUGUUUUCCUUGUAUUGUGUUU
rnacentral:lncRNA from 1 species